rnacentral:rRNA from 1 species
CAGUAGCCGCGGUAAUACGUAGGGUGCGAGCGUUAAUCGGAAUUACUGGGCGUAAAGCGUGCGCAGGCGGUUAUAUAAGACAGAUGUGAAAUCCCCGGGCUCAACCUGGGACCUGCAUUUGUGACUGUAUAGCUAGAGUACGGUAGAAGGGGAUGGAAUUCCGCGUGUAGCAGUGAAAUGCGUAGAUAUGCGGAGGAACACCGAUGGCGAAGGCAAUCCCCUGGACCUGUACUGACGCUCAUGCACGAAAGCGUGGGGAGCAAACAGGAUUAGAUACCCCCGUAGUCCCUGUCUCUUAUAC